rfam:Tilletiaria anomala TBC 951 K437scaffold_57, whole genome shotgun sequence.
GCUCUUGUGGCGGAGUUGGUUACCGCGUCGGUCUCAUAUGACUUCAUGCUAUGAGGGCUUAGAUAGCCUGACAUCCGAAGGUCGCCAGUUCGAGCCUGGCCAAGAGCA